AUGAGGGCUAGAUGGUGGUCUUGGAGCAAGAAAAGUGUUGAGUCCAGGCGCAUUAUGGUACGACUAAGACCGAGUUGGGCAGGAGCAAGCGGUUGGAUUGGCCCGACUCUUCAAGACCAAAUAUACUCGGCUUUGUCUUCAUCAAGUCAUAAAAUUCGACCCUUAGUUAGCAUCAUCAAAACUAGAGCAUGCCCAGGACAAACAAGAACAUAUAAUUAUCAAUGUUCUAAAUAG
rnacentral:rRNA from 1 species